AACGAACGCUGGCGGCAUGCCUAACACAUGCAAGUCGAACGAUGCCUUCGGGCAUAUUGGCGCACGGGGGGUUACGGCGUGGUAAGCUGCCCUGUGGUACGGUGCAACUCCGGUAAAGAUGAGUUAAGACCGUAUGUGUCCCCACGGGCAAAGAGUUAUCGCCACGGGGUGGGCCCGGGUAGGAUUAGCUUGUUGGUGGGGUAAUGGCAUAUCAAGGCUACGAUCCUUAGCUGGUGUGAGAGCAUGAUCAGCCAGACUGGAACUGAGACACGGCCCACACUCCUACGGGAGGCAGCAGUGGGUAAUAUUGGACAAUGAGCGCAAGCCUGAUCCAGCAGUGCCGCGUGAGUGAUGAAGGCGUUCGGGUUGUAAAUCUCUUUCGGACGAGACGAUGAUGACGGUAGCGUGAGAAGAAGCACCGGCUAACUUCGUG
rnacentral:rRNA from 1 species